CUAUANUGCAGUCGANGAGUUCUGAUUAUUGAAAGGUGCUUGCAUCUUGAUUUAAUUUUGAACGAGUGGCGGACGGGUGAGUAACACGUGGGUAACCUGCCCUUAAGUGGGGGAUAACAUUUGGAAACAGAUGCUAAUACCGCAUAAAUCCAAGAACCGCAUGGUUCUUGGCUGAAAGAUGGCGUAAGCUAUCGCUUUUGGAUGGACCCGCGGCGUAUUAGCUAGUUGGUGAGGUAACGGCUCACCAAGGCAAUGAUACGUAGCCGAACUGAGAGGUUGAUCGGCCACAUUGGGACUGAGACACGGCCCAAACUCCUACGGGAGGCAGCAGUAGGGAAUCUUCCACAAUGGACGCAAGUCUGAUGGAGCAACGCCGCGUGAGUGAAGAAGGCUUUCGGGUCGUAAAACUCUGUUGUUGGAGAAGAAUGGUCGGCAGAGUAACUGUUGUCGGCGUGACGGUAUCCAACCAGAAAGCCACGGCUAACUACGUGCCAGCCGNCGCGGUAAA
rnacentral:rRNA from 1 species